UCACAUAGAGGAUAACAGCAUGCUUUCCCCCUACAAACUACUCCUGUAGUGGAAAUGGAAAAGAUCUGUGCUAUGGAUAUGAAGUUUGGGACUUAGAACUCUGCUAGUGAUCCUUGCAGGGGUGAAAAAUAAUAACAGCCUGUGGGAGAUUUUGCCUGUGUUGCCAGAGUGGAUGAUCCUGCCUGUGUGAGCUCCAAAAAGCUGGAAAACUGCCAAAGACAGUUGCAGGAAUUCAGGGAGGAAGUAACAAAAGCAUG